rnacentral:lncRNA from 1 species
AAUCUGAUUCUCCCAUUCACCUCUCUCCUCCCUCUUCUCCCACAUCUGUGCAGCUCCCUUUUUCUGUCACCGUCCCAAUUGAUUCAGCCUUCCCUUCUGCCAGCUCACCUCCUGCUUUGGCUUCUUCUCCUUCUCUUCUUGCUCCCAGAAAAUCUCAAAUACAGCAUAAUCCUCCUUCCUAUCUCAAGGAUUAUGUAUGUCAACUACCUGCCUUCUCUGGUUCAUCUUCCUCCUCUUUGGAAUCUGAGCCUCUGUAUUACUCUCAUACAGCAUCUGUUCCAGCAUGGCAAGCUGCCAUGAGACAGGAGUUUGAAGAUCUGGACACUAACCAUACUUGGG